UCGCUGACAUCAUUGGUGCAAACGAAGCGUGUGCGCCCGGCGAAGUAGCAGAAGUGGGAAGCCGCUCCUCGCGCGGCGCUAUUAAAUUUCUUCACGCCCAGCAACCUUGUGCAUCAAUCAUUUCCUGCCCCUCCACGUGACCCGUUGGGAGCCCUUCGCUGCCCGCCGACGAAUUCAUCUUGCGGCCCCCAGUUCGCCCCCCGCCGACUCUCUCCCGCUCUUUUAAAGGGACAGAACCAGGCUUUUAAUAUAAUUAGCCCUCUCCUCUCCUUUCAACACCCCCCCCCGCGCGGGGGUGAUCGGAAAGGAAACAAUAGGCAGCGCGCGGAGCAAAGAUGCUUUCCUAGGAAUGGGGGUGGAAGCUGGCGCUAUCUGGACAAAACUUGCAGGAUCAAGCAGCCAUAAACAACUGAGACUUUUUACAUUUGCUUGUUUUGGAAACUUAUUGUCUGUCUGUCUGCAGUAGGGUGUCUCUCUCCACCCUGUAUUUGCCUGCCAUUGCCUUAUUGUAACACCCUGGAGGGCAGGGAUUAAAUGAUGUUCUUAUCACUGCC